rnacentral:rRNA from 1 species
UGUUUCGGCUAGGGGGCCAUCCCGGCUUACCAACCCGAUGCAAACUACGAAUACCGAAGAAUGUUAUCACGGGAGACACACGGCGGGUGCUAACGUCCGUCGUGAAGAGGGAAACAACCCAGACCGCCAGCUAAGGUCCCAAAGUCAUGGUUAAGUGGGAAACGAUGUGGGAAGGCACAGACAGCCAGGAUGUUGGCUUAGAAGCAGCCAUCAUUUAAAGAAAGCGUAAUAGCUCACUGGUCGAGUCGGCCUGCGCGGAAGAUGUAACGGGGCUAAACCAUGCACCGAAGCUGCGGCAGCGACACUAUGUGUUGUUGGGUAGGGGAGCGUUCUGUAAGCCGUUGAAGGUGUGCUGUGAGGCAUGCUGGAGGUAUCAGAAGUGCGAAUGCUGACAUAAGUAACGAUAAAGCGGGUGAAAAGCCCGCUCGCCGGAAGACCAAGGGUUCCUGUCCAACGUUAAUCGGGGCAGGGUGAGUCGACCCCUAAGGCGAGGCCGAAAGGCGUAGUCGAUGGGAAACAGGUUAAUAUUCCUGUACUUGGUGUUACUGCGAAGGGGGGACGGAGAAGGCUAUGUCAGCCGGGCGACGGUUGUCCCGGUUUAAGCAUGUAGGCGGAGGUUCCAGGUAAAUCCGGUACCUUUUAACGCUGAGGUGUGAUGACGAGGCACUACGGUGCUGAAGUGAUAAAUGCCCUGCUUCCAGGAAAAGCCUCUAAGCAUCAGGUAACACGAAAUCGUACCCCAAACCGACACAGGUGGUCAGGUAGAGAAUACCAAGGCGCUUGAGAGAACUCGGGUGAAGGAACUAGGCAAAAUGGUGCCGUAACUUCGGGAGAAGGCACGCUGAUGUGUAGGUGAAGCCCCUGCGGGCGGAGCUGAAAUCAGUCGAAGAUACCAGCUGGCUGCAACUGUUUAUUAAAAACACAGCACUGUGCAAACACGAAAGUGGACGUAUACGGUGUGACGCCUGCCCGGUGCCGGAAGGUUAAUUGAUGGGGUUAGCGGCAACGCGAAGCUCUUGAUCGAAGCCCCGGUAAACGGCGGCCGUAACUAUAACGGUCCUAAGGUAGCGAAAUUCCUUGUCGGGUAAGUUCCGACCUGCACGAAUGGCGUAAUGAUGGCCAGGCUGUCUCCACCCGAGACUCAGUGAAAUUGAACUCGCUGUGAAGAUGCAGUGUACCCGCGGCAAGACGGAAAGACCCCGUGAACCUUUACUAUAGCUUGACACUGAACACUGGUCCUUGAUGUGUAGGAUAGGUGGGAGGCUUUGAAGCGUGGACGCCAGUCUGCGUGGAGCCAACCUUGAAAUACCACCCUUUAAUGGCUGGUGUUCUAACGUAGACCCGUAAUCCGGGUUGCGGACAGUGUCUGGUGGGUAGUUUGACUGGGGCGGUCUCCUCCCAAAGAGUAACGGAGGAGCACGAAGGUUGGCUAAUCCUGGUCGGACAUCAGGAGGUUAGUGCAAUGGCAUAAGCCAGCUUGACUGCGAGCGUGACGGCGCGAGCAGGUGCGAAAGCAGGUCAUAGUGAUCCGGUGGUUCUGAAUGGAAGGGCCAUCGCUCAACGGAUAAAAGGUACUCCGGGGAUAACAGGCUGAUACCGCCCAAGAGUUCAUAUCGACGGCGGUGUUUGGCACCUCGAUGUCGGCUCAUCACAUCCUGGGGCUGAAGUAGGUCCCAAGGGUAUGGCUGUUCGCCAUUUAAAGUGGUACGCGAGCUGGGUUUAGAACGUCGUGAGACAGUUCGGUCCCUAUCUGCCGUGGGCGCUGGAGAAUUGAGGGGGGCUGCUCCUAGUACGAGAGGACCGGAGUGGACGCAUCACUGGUGUUCGGGUUGUCAUGCCAAUGGCACUGCCCGGUAGCUAAAUGCGGAAGAGAUAAGUGCUGAAAGCAUCUAAGCACGAAACUUGCCCC